CGACACUGAAGAUCAGAUCAAGAGAGAAGCCCAGCCAUUAAACAGCAGAACAGGGUCUGGAACCCAAGCCUGACCUGCUGGUCCUGCCCUUCUCUCCUAAUACUAUAGCGGAAUCAAUACUAGAUGGUCUUCUCUGCAUGCCAUAUCCCUUUGUAUCCAGAGAGUCCAGGAGCCAAGAGGAACUGAGCCUCCCAAAUCCCAGGUGACAGAAAGGAACUCAGAAGACUGGAUUCUUGAUGCAGCCGUCUGCGAGAUGUGGAAACACAUCCUCAAACCAUUUCUAGCUGUGGCAGCGUCUCAGCUGUGUUCUGAGGCCAUUUUCUGCCAUGUGAGACCCCUGCAUUGCUGUAAAGCCACUACCAAAGAAGAUCCUCACCAGAUGUGUUCCCUGGA